rnacentral:rRNA from 1 species
CUAGGGCUCAACCCAGGAUAGGUGGUGGAAACUACCAAGCUGGAGUAUGGUAGGGGCAGAGGGAAUUUCUGGUGGAGUGGUGAAAUGCAUUGAGAUCGGAAAGAACACCAACAAUGAAAGCACUCUGCUGGGCCGACACUGACACUGAGAGAUGAAAGCUAGGGGAGCAAAUGGGAUUAGAGACCCUAGUAGUCCUAGCCGUAAAUGAUGGAUACUAGGUGCUGCGUGACUCGACCCGUGCAGUGUUGUAGCUAACGCGUUAAGUAUCCCGCCAGGGCUUGACAU